AGCUUGUUGGUAGGGUAACGGCCUACCAAGGCUACGAUGGUUAGCUGGUCUGAGAGGAUGAUCAGCCACACUGGAACUGACACACGGUCCAGACUCCUACGGGAGGCAGCAGUGAGGAAUUUUGCGCAAUGGGGGAAACCCUGACGCAGCAACGCCGCGUGAGUGAUGAAGGCUUUCGGGUCGUAAAGCUCUGUCAAGUGGGAAGAACCUGUCCGAUGUCAAUACCAUCGGGCACUGACGGUACCACUGAAGGAAGCACCGGCUAACUCCGUGCCAGCAGCCGCGGUAAUACGGGGGGUGCAAGCGUUAUUCGGAAUCAUGGGCGUAAAGGGCGCGUAGGCUGCCUCUUAAGUCAGAUGUGAAAGCCCGGGGCUUAACCCCGGAAGUGCAUUUGAAACUGAGAAGCUUGAGUAUGGGAGAGGGAAGUGGAAUUCCUGGUGUAGAGGUGAAAUUCGUAGAUAUCAGGAGGAACACCGGUGGCGAAGGCGACUUCCUGGACCAAUACUGACGCUGAGGCGCGAAGGCGUGGGUAGCAAACAGGAUUAGAUACCCUGGUAGUCCACGCAGUAAACGUUGUUCACUAGGUGUAGCGGGUAUUGACCCCUGCUGUGCCGCAGUUAACGCAUUAAGUGAACCGCCUGGGAAGUACGGCCACAAGGUUAAAACUCAAAGGAAUUGACGGGGGCCCGCACAAGCGGUGGAGCAUGUGGUUUAAUUCGACGCAACGCGAAGAACCUUACCUGGGUUUGACGUCCCGAGAAGUCUCUUGAAAGAGAGAUGUGCCCUUCGGGGAGCUCGGAGACAGGUGCUGCAUGGCUGUCGUCAGCUCGUGUCGUGAGAUGUUGGGUUAAGUCCCGCAACGAGCGCAACCCUUAUCUUUAGUUACCAGCAUUCAGUUGGGGACUCUAAAGAUACUGCCCCGGUUAACGGGGAGGAAGGUGGGGAUGACGUCAAGUCCUCAUGGCCCUUAUACCCAGGGCUACACACGUGCUACAAUGGGCUGUACAAAGGGUCGCAAACCCGCGAGGGCGAGCUAAUCCCAUAAAGCAGCUCUAAGUUCGGAUUGGAGUCUGCAACUCGACUCCAUGAAGCUGGAAUCGCUAGUAAUCGUGGAUCAGCACGCCACGGUGAAUACGUUCCCGGGCCUUGUACACACCGCCCGUCACACCAUGAGAGUUGGUUGUACCAGAAGUUGUUGGACCAACCCGCAAGGGGGGUAAGCACCUAAGGUAUGGCUGAUGAUUGGGGUGAAGUCGAAACAAGGUA
rnacentral:rRNA from 1 species